AUCUACGGCCAUACCAUUCUGGACGUGCCCAAUCUCGUCUGAUCUUGGAAGCUAAGCAGGGUUGGGCCUGGUUAGUACUUCGAUGGGAGACUGCCUGGGAAUACCGGGUGCUGUAGGCU
rnacentral:rRNA from 1 species